rnacentral:rRNA from 1 species
AUUGAACGCUGGCGGCAUGCCUUACACAUGCAAGUCGAACGGUAACAGGUCUUCGGAUGCUGACGAGUGGCGAACGGGUGAGUAAUACAUCGGAACGUGCCCGAUCGUGGGGGAUAACGCAGCGAAAGCUGUGCUAAUACCGCAUACGAUCUACGGAUGAAAGCGGGGGAUCGCAAGACCUCGCGCGGACGGAGCGGCCGAUGGCAGAUUAGGUAGUUGGUGGGAUAAAAGCUUACCAAGCCGACGAUCUGUAGCUGGUCUGAGAGGACGACCAGCCACACUGGGACUGAGACACGGCCCAGACUCCUACGGGAGGCAGCAGUGGGGAAUUUUGGACAAUGGGCGCAAGCCUGAUCCAGCCAUGCCGCGUGCAGGGAUGAAGGCCUUCGGGUUGUAAACUGUCUUUUGUACGGUAACGAAAAAGCUCUCUCUAAUACAGGGGGUGAAGUGACGGUACCGUAAGAAUAAGCACCGGCUAACUACGUGCCAG